GCACUAGUAGUUUAGCGGUAAAAUCCAUGGUUCCCAUUCAUGGGCCCCCGGUUCGACUCCGGGCUAGCGCA
rfam:Cyberlindnera jadinii strain CBS1600 genome assembly, contig: CJ4